AGCUUCUGGACAGCGAUGUUAGAGCAAACAAGUUUUUAAAAUUCGCUACGUUUUUAUCAAUUCCGCAUCCGUUUUUAAGACAAAUCAUCAUAAAUGUCUUUCAAAAGGGAUAUUGUUGCAUUCAGGUGAUCGAAUCACAUAAUCAGCAUUUAUCACCGGAAGAUCACCGGAUUGUUGCCUGAAAAAUGAUUUACAACAGCGGCACUGAUGUUUUACCGUUAAGCCUAUUCCGGAAAGUUGAACGAAUGCAUCGGAAGGUCCGAGGUUUACCUAAAAUUUGCGAACAGCUAUUGCCAACAUUUUUAUUGUCUUUUAAGAGCAAGACGGCAUAAUUUACUCUGAACAAAAUAAAUGCUCUUAAGGUCGAGAGACUAUUCCUGUCGUUUUCCUUCUAAGCCUCUAUCGGACAGGAUGUGGUCCUCGUAAUUCAGCGGAUGAUAUUCCGCAAACAAAAACCUUUAUAUUUGUUCUUCGAAUAUUGUACCACAAGUACAUCACAAUGAGCAGGAACGUGACCGCUACAACCGAAGAACUCGUCAAAGGAUAUGAGGGAAAAUCGCUUCAAAAAUCUAGCUAUGCGGAAGACAGUAAGAUGGAGCUUAAAACAAAAAGAUUAAUUUAUUCACCAUCAUAAUGGAACAGGUACACCCAUCCUAAAUCACUUCAGGGGGCCAGUCCAGAGUGAUGCCUGUAGAACCUGCUGAAUGCCAUUAGACUCCAUUAGACUCUGCCGGCUUGAGGGUGCUACUCCUAGCAGUCGUUUCGCCAUGAACAGCUCA